rnacentral:misc_RNA from 1 species
GAUGAAGAACGUAGCAAAAUGCGAUAAGUAAUGUGAAUUGCAGAAUUCAGUGAAUCAUCGAAUCUUUGAACGCACAUUGCGCCCGCUGGUAUUCCGGGGGGCAUGCCUGUUCGAGCGUCAUUUCACCACUCAAGCCUCGCUUGGUAUUGGGCAACGCGGUCCGCCGCGUGCCUCAAAUCGACCGGCUGGGUCUUCUGUCCCCUAAGCGUUGUGGAAACUAUUCGCUAAAGGGUGUUCGGGAGGCUACGCCGUAAAACAACCCCAUUUCUAAGGUUGACCUCGGAUCAGGUAGGGAUACCCGCUGAACUUAAGCAUAUCAAUAAGCGGAGGA